AUUGUUCUCUGGGAUUGGCUUUGGGCUUUUCCUGCGCAGCUUAGGUGGAAGGCGAAGAAGGUCCCCUUCCCGGAGGGCCCGAGCCAUUAGUGAGAUACCACUCUGGAAGAGCUAGAAUUCUAACCUUGUGUCAGGACCUUCGGGCCAAGGGACAUUCUCAUGUAGACAGUUUCUAUGAGACGUAGGCCUCCCAAAAGGUAACGUAGGCGUGCAAAGGUUUCCUCGGGCCGGACGGAGAUUGGCCUUCGAGUGCAAUGGCAGAAGGGAGCUUGAGUGCAAGACCCACCCGUCGAGCAGGGACGAAAGUCGGCCUUAGUGAUCCGACGGUGCCGAGUGGAAGGGUCGUCGCUCAACGG
rnacentral:ncRNA from 1 species